UGUAGUUGAUGGAUACUCUUAUCCACAUCUGACAUAGAGCAUGAAUGUAGCUGGAAGGCAUAUAACAUCUUAUCUUGUUGACCUACUCUCAAGGAAAGGGUAUGCCAUGAAUAAAUCUGCUGAUUUUGAGACUGUCAGAGAAAUAAAAGAGAAACUGUUCUAUAUAAGCUAGGACUUGAGACCACAAUCCAUGUGAAAAGUUACACUCUUCCAGAUGGAAGAGUUAUUAAAGUAGGCUCCUGAAGCUCUUUUCA